AUUUUUUAUCAGAUUUAUACAGUCUUUUACAAUGGAAGGUUUAGACAGGGAUACCAGAAUAAAACUGUAUGAUUUAAACUAUAUUAAUUUCAACUAUCAAUUUUCAAAUAUGAUUUUUGGAGUUAAUGGUAGCUGCUGUGGAUAACUAUUCUGAAGACAAAUCAGUUCACAUGAUAUUUCUUUUGAAAUGGAUUAUAAAAUAAAAAUUUAAACUAGUUUGAUAAUUAAUAACAAUAAACAAUGUAAAAAUAAUCAAAAAAUAUUUCAAAAACCAUUACAUAAAAUUAUUAAUCAAUAACUGAAUUACUAUGUUGAAUACCUGAGAAUAUAAAAAACAUUAAUGUAGUAUUUUCUUUAAGGAAUGACUGUCAUAUUUUUUCUGUCUAUGAAAAAAUAACAUAAAAAAUUUGGUGCACACUGAAUAACACAUGCAGCGGGUUAUUUAACAGUGCACACCACAUUUUUUUAUGUUAUUUCGUAUAGACAGACAAAAUAUUAGUCAUUUCUUAUAAUUUAAUUCUAAAUCCAUUUUAAACCGUAGAAAACCAUGAAAAAACGUUGAUGACAUCACAGUCACAUGACUAAAUUAUGUCUAUGGGCUGAUAACAAAAUAACGUCAGCCAAUCAGAAGAUGUGUUACAUCUAAAAUUAAAUUCUAAUAAUAUAAAAGUAAUUAAGACACUAAAAUUGGAACAGUCUUGACAUAAUAUCUAAGAUGAAAUAUGAAUAAUAGUUUGCAUAUUUUUCAAAUAUCUAGAUUAAAAAAAUACAUAUUCAUUUAGACUAUUUCUACUUAAACUGCAAACAUGCUAAGGAUUGGUAUGAAAUAUUGCUGAGCAUAAUAUAGGUUUUACAAAAAAAUGUUCAAAGAAAGGUAAAAUUUUCUUCCUCACAUUGUUUCAUAGUAUGCAGGAAUUUAAUAACUAAGGAUAGUAUUCACUUAAGACAUUGAUAAUAGUUUACAUGCUGCAAAUAAUAUUUUCAAGCUGAGAUUUUCUUACAUGCAAUUCACAGUGAAAAAUCACCCGAAAAAAAA
rnacentral:lncRNA from 1 species